rnacentral:rRNA from 1 species
AUUGGGCGUAAGAGCUCGUAGGCGGUUUGUCGCGUCUGCCGUGAAAGUCCGGGGCUCAACUCCGGAUCUGCGGUGGGUACGGGCAGACUAGAGUGAUGUAGGGGAGACUGGAAUUCCUGGUGUAGCGGUGAAAUGCGCAGAUAUCAGGAGGAACACCGAUGGCGAAGGCAGGUCUCUGGGCAUUAACUGACGCUGAGGAGCGAAAGCAUGGGGAGCGAACAGGAUUAGAUACCCUGGUAGUCCAUGCCGUAAACGUUGGGCACUAGGUGUGGGGGACAUUCCACGUUUUCCGCGCCGUAGCUAACGCAUUAAGUGCCCCGCCUGGGGAGUACGGCCGCAAGGCUAAAACUCAAAGGAAUUGACGGGGGCCCGCACAAGCGGCGGAGCAUGCGGAUUAAUUCGAUGCAACGCGAAGAACCUUACCAAGGCUUGACAUGGACCGGACCGCCGCAGAAAUGUGGUUUCCCCUUUGGGGCCGGUUCACAGGUGGUGCAUGGUUGUCGUCAGCUCGUGUCGUGAGAUGUUGGGUUAAGUCCCGCAACGAGCGCAACCCUCGUUCUAUGUUGCCAGCGCGUGAUGGCGGGGACUCAUAGGAGACUGCCGGGGUCAACUCGGAGGAAGGUGGGGACGACGUCAAAUCAUCAUGCCCCUUAUGUCUUGGGCUUCACGCAUGCUACAAUGGCCGGUACAAAGGGUUGCGAUACUGUGAGGUGGAGCUAAUCCCAAAAAGCCGGUCUCAGUUCGGAUUGGGGUCUGCAACUCGACCCCAUGAAGUCGGAGUCGCUAGUAAUCGCAGAUCAGCAACGCUGCGGUGAAUACGUUCCCGGGCCUUGUACACACCGCCCGUCAAGUCACGAAAGUUGGUAACACCCGAAGCCGGUGGCCUAACCCCU